rnacentral:rRNA from 1 species
GAUGAACGCUAGCUACAGGCUUAACACAUGCAAGUCGAGGGGCAGCAUGGUCUUAGCUUGCUAAGGCCGAUGGCGACCGGCGCACGGGUGAGUAACACGUAUCCAACCUGCCGUCUACUCUUGGACAGCCUUCUGAAAGGAAGAUUAAUACAAGAUGGCAUCGUGAGUUCACAUGUUCACAUGAUUAAAGGUAUUCCGGUAGACGAUGGGGAUGCGUUCCAUUAGAUAGUAGGCGGGGUAACGGCCCACCUAGUCUUCGAUGGAUAGGGGUUCUGAGAGGAAGGUCCCCCACAUUGGAACUGAGACACGGUCCAAACUCCUACGGGAGGCAGCAGUGAGGAAUAUUGGUCAAUGGGCGAGAGCCUGAACCAGCCAAGUAGCGUGAAGGAUGACUGCCCUAUGGGUUGUAAACUUCUUUUAUAAAGGAAUAAAGUCGGGUAUGUAUACCCGUUUGCAUGUACUUUAUGAAUAAGGAUCGGCUAACUCCGUG